GAUGAACGCUGGCGGCGUGCCUAAUACAUGCAAGUCGAGCGAACAGACGAGGAGCUUGCUCCUCUGACGUUAGCGGCGGACGGGUGAGUAACACGUGGAUAACCUACCUAUAAGACUGGGAUAACUUCGGGAAACCGGAGCUAAUACCGGAUAAUAUAUUGAACCGCAUGGUUCAAUAGUGAAAGACGGUUUUGCUGUCACUUAUAGAUGAAUCCGCGCCGCAUUAGCUAGUUGGUAAGGUAACGGCUUACCAAGGCGACGAUGCGGAGCCGACCUGAGAGGGUGGUUGGCCACACUGGAACUGAGACACGGUCCAGACUCCUACGGGAGGCAGCAGUAGGGAAUCUUCCGCAAUGGGCGGAAGCCUGACGGAGCAACGCCGGGUGAGUGAUGAAGGUCUUCGGAUCGUUAAACUCUGUUAUUAGGGAAGAACAAAUGUGUAAGUAACUAUGCACGUCUUGACGGUACCUAAUCAGAAAGCCACGGCUAACUACGUG
rnacentral:rRNA from 1 species